rnacentral:rRNA from 1 species
AGAGUUUGAUCAUGGCUCAGAACGAACGCUGGCGGCAGGUCUUAGGCAUGCAAGUCGAACGGAUGACAAGGGAGCUUGCUUCCUUGAAGUCAGUGGCGCACGAGUGAGUAACGCGUGGGAAACUGCCCUUCACUGGGGAAUAACGUUUGGAAACGAACGCUAAUACCGCAUACGCCCGCAAGGGGAAAGAUUUAUCGGUGAUGGAUGUGCCCGCGUUGGAUUAGCUAGUUGGUGGGGUAAUGGCCUACCAAGGCGAUGAUCCAUAGCUGGUCUGAGAGGACGAUCAGCCACGCUGGAACUGAGACACGGUCCAGACUCCUACGGGAGGCAGCAGCUAAGAAUAUUGGGCAAUGGAGGAAACUCUGACCCAAGCCAUGCCGCGUGAAUGAAGAAGGCCUUCGGGUUGUAAAGUUCUUUUAGUCAUGAAGAUGAUGACAGUAGUGACAGAAAAAGCACCGGCUAACUUCGUGCCAGCCGCGGC